UACGUAGGUGGCAAGCGUUGUUCGGAAUUAUUGGGCGUAAAGAGCGUGUAGGCGGCCAUGUAGGUCCGGUGUGAAAACUCGAGGCUUAACCUCGAGAUGUCAUCGGAAACCAUUUGGCUAGAGUCCGGAAGAGGAGAGUGGAAUUCCUGGUGUAGCGGUGAAAUGCGCAGAUAUCAGGAAGAACACCAAUGGCGAAAGCAGCUCUCUGGGACGGUACUGACGCUGAGACGCGAAAGCGUGGGGAGCGAACAGG
rnacentral:rRNA from 1 species